rnacentral:rRNA from 1 species
AUGGCGGCGGCAGAGGUGAGCAACAAGGGGGUGAUCCUGAAGCAGUUCGUGACGGGGUGCCCCACCGAGGACGACCUGGAGCUCGUCACCGGCGUCGUUCGGCUGGCCGUGCCGCCUGGGUCGGCGUCCGUGAUGGUCAAGAACCUCUACGUCUCCUGCGACCCCUACAUGCGCAACCGGAUGAGCGAGCACAACGAGGCCAGCUACAUCGAGCAGUUCGUGCCAGGGGAGGUGCUAGUUCUAUACCAUCCCAAGCAGGGUGGUAGCAUCUGGGCACCCGAUUUCAAGUCGGGUGAUCUUGUUUGGGGCAUGAGCGGAUGUGAAGAAUACACUUUGAUCACUGAUCCAGAGUCUCUUUUCAAGAUCAACCAUCCCGAACUACCUCUGUCGUACUACACAGGUGUUCUUGGCAUGGCUGGACUUACUGCGUAUGCUGGAUUUUUCGACGUAUCAAAACCAAAGCAAGGCGACUAUGUUUUCAUCUCAUCAGCAUCGGGCGCCGUCGGGCAGCUUGUUGGACAGCUUGCCAAGAUCACUGGCUGCUAUGUGGUUGGCAGUGCUGGUUCCGAUGAGAAGGUCAACAUCCUAAAAACCAAGUUUGGCUUUGACGAUGCUUUCAACUACAAGAAGGAAGAGGACCUCAACGCCGCACUAAAGAGAUGCUUCCCGCAGGGCAUUGACAUCUACUUCGAGAACGUGGGCGGUGCGAUGCUAGCCGCGGUGCUGCCCAACAUGAGGAUGAAUGGCCGGAUCACCGUGUGUGGGAUGAUCUCGCAGUACAACCUGGAGCAGCCGAAUGGUGCCCCUAACCUCUUUUGCUUGGUUGCCAAGCGCAUCCGCAUGGAGGGAUUCAUGGUCCUGGACUACUUCGGGACCUACAACAAGUUCGAGGAGGAGAUAGCGGGUUACCUCAAGGAAGGGAAGAUCAGUGUUGUUGAGGAUGUUGCUGAGGGGAUCGAGAAUGUGUCGACGGCGCUCAUCGGGCUCUUCUCUAGGCACAACAUUGGGAAGCAGCUUGUCACCAUCGCACAUGAGUGA